AAAUUGAAGAGUUUGAUCAUGGCUCAGAUUGAACGCUGGCGGCAGGCCUAACACAUGCAAGUCGAGCGGUAGCACAGAGAGCUUGCUCUCGGGUGACGAGCGGCGGACGGGUGAGUAAUGUCUGGGAAACUGCCUGAUGGAGGGGGAUAACUACUGGAAACGGUAGCUAAUACCGCAUAACGUCGCAAGACCAAAGAGGGGGACCUUCGGGCCUCUUGCCAUCAGAUGUGCCCAGAUGGGAUUAGCUAGUAGGUGGGGUAACGGCUCACCUAGGCGACGAUCCCUAGCUGGUCUGAGAGGAUGACCAGCCACACUGGAACUGAGACACGGUCCAGACUCCUACGGGAGGCAGCAGUGGGGAAUAUUGCACAAUGGGCGCAAGCCUGAUGCAGCCAUGCCGCGUGUAUGAAGAAGGCCUUCGGGUUGUAAAGUACUUUCAGCGGGGAGGAAGGCGAUAAGGUUAAUAACCUUGUCGAUUGACGUUACCCGCAGAAGAAGCACCGGCUAACUCCGUGCCAGCAGCCGCGGUAAUACGGAGGGUGCAAGCGUUAAUCGGAAUUACUGGGCGUAAAGCGCACGCAGGCGGUCUGUCAAGUCGGAUGUGAAAUCCCCGGGCUCAACCUGGGAACUGCAUUCGAAACUGGCAGGCUAGAGUCUUGUAGAGGGGGGUAGAAUUCCAGGUGUAGCGGUGAAAUGCGUAGAGAUCUGGAGGAAUACCGGUGGCGAAGGCGGCCCCCUGGACAAAGACUGACGCUCAGGUGCGAAAGCGUGGGGAGCAAACAGGAUUAGAUACCCUGGUAGUCCACGCCGUAAACGAUGUCGACUUGGAGGUUGUGCCCUUGAGGCGUGGCUUCCGGAGCUAACGCGUUAAGUCGACCGCCUGGGGAGUACGGCCGCAAGGUUAAAACUCAAAUGAAUUGACGGGGGCCCGCACAAGCGGUGGAGCAUGUGGUUUAAUUCGAUGCAACGCGAAGAACCUUACCUACUCUUGACAUCCAGAGAACUUAGCAGAGAUGCUUUGGUGCCUUCGGGAACUCUGAGACAGGUGCUGCAUGGCUGUCGUCAGCUCGUGUUGUGAAAUGUUGGGUUAAGUCCCGCAACGAGCGCAACCCUUAUCCUUUGUUGCCAGCGGUUAGGCCGGGAACUCAAAGGAGACUGCCAGUGAUAAACUGGAGGAAGGUGGGGAUGACGUCAAGUCAUCAUGGCCCUUACGAGUAGGGCUACACACGUGCUACAAUGGCGCAUACAAAGAGAAGCGACCUCGCGAGAGCAAGCGGACCUCAUAAAGUGCGUCGUAGUCCGGAUUGGAGUCUGCAACUCGACUCCAUGAAGUCGGAAUCGCUAGUAAUCGUAGAUCAGAAUGCUACGGUGAAUACGUUCCCGGGCCUUGUACACACCGCCCGUCACACCAUGGGAGUGGGUUGCAAAAGAAGUAGGUAGCUUAACCUUCGGGAGGGCGCUUACCACUUUGUGAUUCAUGACUGGGGUGAAGUCGUAACAAGGUAACCGUAGGGGAACCUGCGGUUGGAUCACCUCCUUA
rnacentral:rRNA from 1 species